rnacentral:miRNA from 1 species
AAAAAAAAGAUAGAGGGAGAGAGAGAGAGAGAGAGAGAGAGAUUGAUUUUUUUUUAAUAUCUAUUUUUCAGUUUUUUGGUGGACACAACAUCUUUGUAUGUGGUGCUGAGGAUCGAACCCAAGCCCCACACAUGCCAGGUGAGCACACUACCACUUGAGCCACAUCCCCAGCCCCAAGAAAUCUCCUUUUCAACAACUGAAAAGAAUGAAGACAUUUCUCUCUCUCUCUCUCUCUCUCUCUCUCUCUCCCUCCCUCCCUCCCUCCCUCC